UUGAAUUUUAAUGAAGAGUUUGGUUGUAGCUGGCCCAUUCAUUUGGGCAUGUGCACACCUUCCUCUUUCAUCCCACACACACCUGUGAACCUGUGAGACAGAGAUGGGGAAUUUACUUGCUGCUUUUUGGAAUACAAAGGCAAUAGGUUAUUGGACCCCCCCUCUGUCUACUCAAUUAAUAUAAACUCAAUUUAUUUUAAAACGAAUGUAAUGGAUGUAACUCAUCUCAUAC
rnacentral:misc_RNA from 1 species